GACGAACGCUGGCGGCGUGCCUAAUACAUGCAAGUAGAACGCUGAAGGAGGAGCUUGCUUCUCUGGAUGAGUUGCGAACGGGUGAGUAACGCGUAGGUAACCUGCCUGGUAGCGGGGGAUAACUAUUGGAAACGAUAGCUAAUACCGCAUAAUAGUAGAUGUUGCAUGACAUUUGCUUAAAAGGUGCAAUUGCAUCACUACCAGAUGGACCUGCGUUGUAUUAGCUAGUUGGUGGGGUAACGGCUCACCAAGGCGACGAUACAUAGCCGACCUGAGAGGGUGAUCGGCCACACUGGGACUGAGACACGGCCCAGACUCCUACGGGAGGCAGCAGUAGGGAAUCUUCGGCAAUGGACGGAAGUCUGACCGAGCAACGCCGCGUGAGUGAAGAAGGGUGUCGGAUCGUAAAGCUCUGCUGUAAGAGAAGAACGAGUGUGAGAGUGGAAAGUUCACACUGUGACGGUAUCUUACCAGAAAGGGACGGCUAACUACGUG
rnacentral:rRNA from 1 species